rnacentral:tRNA from 1 species
GCCGGAAUAGCUCAGUUGGGAGAGCAAUAGCUCAGUUGGAGAGCGUUAGUCUGAAGAUCUAAAGGUCCCUGGUUCGAUCCUGGGUUCCGGCG